rnacentral:miRNA from 1 species
GCUUCUCCGGUCUCUCCUCCUUC